rnacentral:lncRNA from 1 species
UUGACUCUAAAAUGUGGCCAUCAGCUUAAUUCAAAACUAACCAAGUUUCUAACAAAUAUAAGCGAUUAUUUUUUAACACCACUUUUCAAUCUUUGGCUGACUGCUAUCUAAUGGUAAUUCAUUCUGACUCAAAUAUGAACUACUCACAUCUAUGAUAGAGCCAGUAAAACAUUAUAGUAGGUAAAUUGAUGCCUAUAUUGGAUCCACCAAAAAUUUUAUAGAAAUAUGGAAUCUGAAUUCCUUACUUCCAAAAAUUUAGAAUGGGGUUGAAUGGAUCCAACCUGGACACCUGUAAAAUCUAGAGGUAUGAAACCUGAAAUUAAAUAUAAAUAUUGCAUAGUGGAAAUACAACAUGCUUCCAUCCUGGCAACAACUUCGCCAUCCAAUCAAUUGGCAGCCAUUAUUGCAAAAUCAUUUAUGGUGGCCAUUGUAAGAACAUAUUAUUGUAAGUCAAACCAUCAUAAUUUAGGAACCCCCUUGCAAAUUCAAUAUUAUGAAAUUUGAAUUAAAUCAUGUUUUGUUUUGAAUAAUUGAUUGAUUAAAGUUUUUAUUUUUAUUUUAAAAUAUGAAUUACAA